GUGGCCUCGUUCAAGUAAUCCAGGAUAGGCUGUGCAGGUCCCAAGGGGCCUAUUCUUGGUUACUUGCACG
ensembl:miRNA